rnacentral:rRNA from 1 species
CCCUAAGGCGAGGCCGAAAGGCGUAGUCGAUGGGAAACAGGUUAAUAUUCCUGUACUUGGUGUUACUGCGAAGGGGGGACGGAGAAGGCUAUGUUGGCCGGGCGACGGUUGUCCCGGUUUAAGCGUGUAGGCUGGUUUUCCAGGCAAAUCCGGAAAAUCAAGGCUGAGGCGUGAUGACGAGGCACUACGGUGCUGAAGCAACAAAUGCCCUGCUUCCAGGAAAAGCCUCUAAGCAUCAGGUAACAUCAAAUCGUACCCCAAACCGACACAGGUGGUCAGGUAGAGAAUACCAAGGCGCUUGAGAGAACUCGGGUGAAGGAACUAGGCAAAAUGGUGCCGUAACUUCGGGAGAAGGCACGCUGAUAUGUAGGUGAAGUCCCUCGCGGAUGGAGCUGAAAUCAGUCGAAGAUACCAGCUGGCUGCAACUGUUUAUUAAAAACACAGCACUGUGCAAACACGAAAGUGGACGUAUACGGUGUGACGCCUGCCCGGUGCCGGAAGGUUAAUUGAUGGGGUUAGCCGCAAGGCGAAGCUCUUGAUCGAAGCCCCGGUAAACGGCGGCCGUAACUAUAACGGUCCUAAGGUAGCGAAAUUCCUUGUCGGGUAAGUUCCGACCUGCACGAAUGGCGUAAUGAUGGCCAGGCUGUCUCCACCCGAGACUCAGUGAAAUUGAACUCGCUGUGAAGAUGCAGUGUACCCGCGGCAAGACGGAAAGACCCCGUGAACCUUUACUAUAGCUUGACACUGAACAUUGAGCCUUGAUGUGUAGGAUAGGUGGGAGGCUUAGAAGUGUGGACGCCAGUCUGCAUGGAGCCGACCUUGAAAUACCACCCUUUAAUGUUUGAUGUUCUAACGUUGACCCGUAAUCCGGGUUGCGGACAGUGUCUGGUGGGUAGUUUGACUGGGGCGGUCUCCUCCUAAAGAGUAACGGAGGAGCACGAAGGUUGGCUAAUCCUGGUCGGACAUCAGGAGGUUAGUGCAAUGGCAUAAGCCAGCUUGACUGCGAGCGUGACGGCGCGAGCAGGUGCGAAAGCAGGUCAUAGUGAUCCGGUGGUUCUGAAUGGAAGGGCCAUCGCUCAACGGAUAAAAGGUACUCCGGGGAUAACAGGCUGAUACCGCCCAAGAGUUCAUAUCGACGGCGGUGUUUGGCACCUCGAUGUCGGCUCAUCACAUCCUGGGGCUGAAGUAGGUCCCAAGGGUAUGGCUGUUCGCCAUUUAAAGUGGUACGCGAGCUGGGUUUAGAACGUCGUGAGACAGUUCGGUCCCUAUCUGCCGUGGGCGCUGGAGAACUGAGGGGGGCUGCUCCUAGUACGAGAGGACCGGAGUGGACGCAUCACUGGUGUUCGGGUUGUCAUGCCAAUGGCACUGCCCGGUAGCUAAAUGCGGAAGAGAUAAGUGCUGAAAGCAUCUAAGCACGAAACUUGCCCCGAGAUGAGUUCUCCCUGAC